rnacentral:rRNA from 1 species
CCCUAGUAACGGCGAGUGAAGCGGCAACAGCUCAAAUUUGAAAUCUGGCUCUUUCAGGGUCCGAGUUGUAAUUUGCAGAGGGCGCUUUGGCGUUGGCAGCGGUCCAAGUUCCUUGGAACAGGACGUCACAGAGGGUGAGAAUCCCGUACGUGGUCGCUGGCCUCCGCCGUGUAAAGCCCCUUCGACGAGUCGAGUUGUUUGGGAAUGCAGCUCUAAAUGGGAGGUAAAUUUCUUCUAAAGCUAAAUACUGGCCAGAGACCGAUAGCGCACAAGUAGAGUGAUCGAAAGAUGAAAAGCACUUUGGAAAGAGAGUCAAAUAGCACGUGAAAUUGUUGAAAGGGAAGCGCUUGCAGCCAGACUUGCCUGUAGUUGCUCACCCGGGCUCCUGCCCGGUGCACUCUUCUAUAGGCAGGCCAGCAUCAGUUUGGGCGGUUGGAUAAAGGUCUCUGUCAUGUACCUCUCUUCGGGGAGGCCUUAUAGGGGAGACGACAUGCAACCAGCCUGGACUGAGGUCCGCGCAUUUGCUAGGAUGCUGGCGUAAUGGCUGUAAGCGGCCCGUCUUGAAACACGGACCAAGGAGUCUAACAUCUAUGCGAGUGUUUGGGUGUCAAGCCCGAACGCGUAAUGAAAGUGAACGGAGGUGGGAACCCUUACGGGCGCACCAUCGACCGAUCCUGAUGUCUUCGGAAGGAUUUGAGUAAGAGCAUGGCUGUUGGGACCCGAAAGAUGGUGAACUAUGCUUGAAUAGGGUGAAGCCAGAGGAAACUCUGGUGGAGGCUCGCAGCGGUUCUGACGUGCAAAUCGAUCGUCAAAUUUGGGCAUAGGGGCGAAAG